UUUCCAUAGGAAGAUAGCUCAUUAGUUUUGUUAGAAAACUGUUAUAACUAUCAUUGAUCAUGUUAUUUAGUGUUUGAUAUUUGUAUGACAUUAUUAUAUUUUACCUUUAUAUUGUAUUAUAAACAACUGUAUUUCAGUAUCACAGGCUUGUAUUAAAAUAUUCAAUUUUUUUGAAAAAUGUCAUAACAAAUAUAGACCAUUUUGUAUACAAAUUGAAUAAUAUAACAUUCCGUUCUAUAUUAUUAAGUAAAACUUGUUUAAUUAUCCAUCACGUUUAAGAAAAACGUAUAGACAGCUGCUUUGCUUAAACAAAAAAACCCAUUUUAUAACCUUUUAUUGGUACCUAUUAAGCUACUUUAUUGGUACCUACUGUCACAAUGCAUGUUUUCAGAUCAAAAUAUACUACUACGUCGUGUAGAAGAGGCCGCAAUAUACGAUCCGGCGUAUUGUCCAAUCAAUUGUGGCAGGUUUUACAAAGGUCAACAUCGAAAAAUAAAUCUACGUCGACACAUAUUUGAAUGUGGUGUACAACCAAGAUUUCCUUGUACAAUAUGUAAGAAACGGUUUUUCCGAAGGUACCAACUUAAAUUACACAUGGGAAGAGUGCACAAAGUAUGUGCUUCUAAUUUACACAACCACAGUGAAAUGUGUACAAUUUUAAUUUAAUGGUGUUUGCACAAAAUUUCAAAAGUUAUAUGAAUCUGACCCAGUUCCGUGUCCAAAUUAUUGCGGUCGUCUUUAUAGGGGUCCGCAACGAAAAUGUAAUUUAAGAAAGCAUUUGAAAUUGGAGUGUGGUGUGGCACCUAUGUUUUUGUGCAGAAUAUGUUUAAGGAAAUUUACUAGAAACGAAAACUUAAAACGACAUUUAGUAGUUGUACAUAGAACAUUAAAAAAUAUGAUGUGAUAACACUUAACAUUAACUGUUAAACUGUUGGAGAUUUCAUGGAUCGAUUAAUUGAACUGAAAACAUUUCAGUUCCAUUUUCAAAGUAGAAUCUGUAUCUUUAAUCUUUUAUUGCAUUAUGAUAUUUUACACUAUAAAUAAAAAGGAUAAAACUGUUAAA